CCUCUUCAGGCGCACAAUAUGUUCAUCAUCUUUUGAAACUGAGCAAGUAAGAAAGCCUUAUGUAGUUUGCCUUUAUCAGGAUGUGUUUAAAUGUCUGUAUAGUGAUUUUACCAGUCCUGUGACAUCUAGACCCACUGGCUUCAGCUCCAUUGUAACAUCCUGACAUACAUUGUGUUGGUGGUGACUUACUGACCAUUGAACCAUGCUGGAGAAGCUGGUGUACACUGUAUAGAGGGUUAGCAUUCAGAAGAAGAGCUUGGAUCUUCACAUAUCCUGACAUCACACUGGUGAGGUGUGGUUUUUGCUGCUAUUCUUCUGAGAAACAGCUUCUCCAAAAACACAUUAAGAAAAAUCACCUAGGUUCAAGAACUUUCUUAACCAGCUCCCAGCUCACUUUUACCCUCAGAUCACUUCCUGUGGAAAAUUAGGUUCUUCAUGCUUAAACUUCCACCAGAGCAUCCCUGCGAAUAAGGAAGCUGUUGGCGUUGUCACACUUCUGUGCUGAAAGCCAGGGGUUAUCUGGAAGAAGAAACAGUCCCUAUGCGGCAAUUAAAAGCACUUAGAAUGGUCUUCCCGAAAGCCUUCUGUGUAUUUUGGGGCAGGUGGAAACUCCAGUGUGCUGAGAGGAGUGUGAAGAUUUGUGUUGCACAAAGGUGGACAUGUUGAUUUUUUGUUCUGGUUACCUCUUGCUGAUAUAUUCUGCUUACUUACAAAUGAAGAGUUUGACAUUUGAAGGCAGAAUCUGUUGAAAUGUACCAAAGCUGACAGUGAACACUACUGGUUGUUUCUGUACUACAUCUCUUAUUUUUGAUACGGGUCUCUACAUAAAUUAUAUAUAUAUAUUUAAAUAUAUAUAUAAACAUAUAUACAAGUAAAUUGUUAAAAAAAAAUCUACUGAUGCUGUAGGACUCAAUGUGGUAAAAAAAAAUCCUGAAAUGCCUUCGUAUUUAUUUAUUUUGUAACAAAAUGUGUCUAUUAUCAUAAGCUGACCCAUUGUUGAAGUAAAAAUAUAAACUAUUGAAAUGUGACAUCACAUAAACUGUACCCUAUUCAGCCAAAUAGAUAUUGCUCACUUUAGAAGAUCAAAUUAGAAGAAUGAUAUACUUUCUAAUUUUAGGCUGUUAGAGGACUGAUUUUACUCCAUGACUGCACAUUUGUUCUUUGACUAUGGUGGUUUUGUAGAGUCUGUUAUCAGCUAUAAAUGUUUCUCAGAAAAUGUAACUGUUGCUAAAAAUAAAAAAGCUAAUAUCACAACUUCCUACCAGACAGAAGCAAAUAGUGACUGAAGUGCAUGUACGCUGUUCUCUUAAACACAAUUGUAAAGAAUACACUGCUUCAACAGGAUGAAAGUUUCCCUUCCAGGUAAGUUGUAGAUUUCUUGAUUUACGGGAAAAUGUUAUUAAAAGAGUUAUGUGGAGAGUAGCUACUGGCAAAUUGUAGGUAGAAUCUUUAUUAAAGAAUUGAAGAUAAAUUAA